rnacentral:lncRNA from 1 species
AUACUUUAGAUCAGAUCUAAACUACCAUAAAGGAUCUAUGAUAUAAAAAUUUUAUAUAUAAAAUCUGAUAUAAAAUAAAAACUGCAUCGAUCACAUCGAUGUCCUGAAUCAGAUCUAACCUUUAGAUUAUAUCGAUUAAGUUCAAAACUCAUUAUCUUAUCAUGGAUCGAUGAUUUUCACUACUGGCAGGUAUGAUAUGAAGCUCUCAUUGAUGUCGAGCAGCCACA